GGAUGUGAGAUUCCCCAAGAUAGGAGAUUCAAACUCAGUGUUAGAUUGAUUGAAUGCUGGCAGAAAGCAUGGUGGGGCUGUUGAAACACACUCUUGUAUCUUGUUU